rnacentral:lncRNA from 1 species
UUUUAUUUUUUUCCUUCAAACCCCUGUGUGGCUAUUUGCAUUUUUGUUUGAGGGUUGUUAUUUAAAAAUGAGAAAACCUUUUGUUUUAUUCAGUGAGGUCUUGGUGGGCUGGCUCCCUCCUUCUUACCUCGGCCGCUUCACUUGUGUCGCCAGCGCAGCCCACCCCAUGUCCGUCUCCUUCCUCUCGCCGUCAUCACCCCUGUAUGACCGAAGGCCACCACCGAUCCUCUCCUUCCUCGAUAAUGCGGCACCAAGCGUGCGUCCCGAGGCCAUAUAAGCGGCUCGUCGCCCUCUCCAGCCCUAGCCCGUUCCAUUUGCUCCCUCCUCUCUCCCUCGCGCCGUCAGGGGAGCCCUUUGACACCGACGCCAUGGAAGGGCUCCUGUGAGCUUCGCAGCAGUCAACAGAUUGUGUUCCCCCGCCUCUUCGUCAGCGC